rnacentral:rRNA from 1 species
ACGCUCGACACCUACGGGAGGCAGCAGUGGGGAAUAUUGCACAAUGGGGGGAACCCUGAUGCAGCGACGCCGCGUGAGGGAAGAAGGUUUUCGGAUUGUAAACCUCUGUCUUUGGUGACGAUAAUGACGGUAGCCAAAGAGGAAGCCUACGGCUAACUACGUGCCUGCAGCCGCGGUAAUCUGAGCGGGCUGGCAAGGC